rnacentral:lncRNA from 1 species
UGAAAAAGAUUUUGAAUCCAUAUAUUUUAUCUACAACACUUAUAUUAUAACAAAUAUAGUAAACAAUAAUAAGUUGAGAUAUUAUCAGGUGAAAAAAUUAUUUCCAGAGAGUAAAUUACUCCAUUUUAACUAUAACUCUGCAACAUUUUGAUACCUAGUUUACAAGAGCUUUGAGAUUUUAUCAAGAGCUUUGAGAUUUUAUCUCAUUUUUUUGUAUUGUACACACAAGAAGACGACGAGUACCUGGAGAGACGAAAUGGCGAUAGGGUGACCGGCGACUGGUGGAAGUAGACGAACACGAGCGAGUGGACGCGGAAACUGGAGAGGAUUGGUGGCUGGUGGCUGCUGCUUUAACAGUGUUAGGGUUUCUCAGUUUCUCUAGACUAGAAUGAGGAAUUAGAUAUUUAGAUUUAGGAAAUAGAAAUUAUAAAAUUAGGGGUAAUGGGUAUAGAGACAAAAGUCACUACUCACUGUCUCACUCAGUCAGACUCAGAACAAACGGUGGGGGUGGUUGUUUUUGUAAUUUAUUUUUGUUAUACACUUAUACUUAUUCAUUUUAAGGUUUUUAGUUUUUAUAUUUAAUAUAUAUAAUUAUGAAAGUAAAAAUAAAUUAUAUAUAUAUAUAUAUAUAUAUAUUUAUAUUUAACGGGUUAACGGAUUAUCCGUUAAGAAAAUUGAAUAAUCCGCCCCCAAAUCCCCCCCAAACCGAUAAGCCUUUAAUAAAAAAAAAUUCAAUCCAUUCUCCGUCCGUUAAGCCGUUACCAUUAAGCCAUUAGAGAUGUGUUCUUAUUUUCACCGUCUUAAUACAUAGUCAAUUAUUUACAAAAAAGUAAGUUUGUGGAGAAUAAUUUUCUAUAUACAACUUAACGACUUUAUUAAAAUAAUCCUUUUCAAGAAAUAAGCAAGACUAUUGGGACUUUAAUCAAUGAGAAAUAAAAAGGUUUAGCUUGGCAACAACAUAGAAACAAGCAUAGCUACAUGGGUUCAAAAUUUAAACAUACUUCAUGCAAGCAACUGAGAACCAAACGGAAUUAUAUCCAACAUUCAGGAUGAAGUAAAAAUAAAUUACAAUAGACCAAUGAAGCUACUAAAUUUCCCGAUGUUUUCAUUCGAACUUAAUUUUAGGAGUUUACAUGGAUCAAAAGUUACUUGGACAACAGAAAACACAGCAAGUUCAGCUCUUUUCAAAAUGAAGAAACAGACAAUAAAAUAGUUAAGCGGGCAACAGCACAGCAAAAGUAGCAACAACCAGUAGAUUUCAUAUUUUAAACCCAAGAAUAUGAACCAAAAACACCCAGCAAAGAAGUUGCAACCAACAACUAUGUAACUCCAGAAGAAGCUUUCAAGACCCCUCUAUUUUUCUUAAAAGUUUUGCACUUAAGAUUCAACUCACAAAAGCUAACAAAUUUCAGCUUCAUAAAGUAUUCAGCUGCUGAUUUUUGUUCAAAGAUAUGUGCGUUCAAGCAACUCUAAGGAAGUUAUCUUAGUGUAUCCUUAAAAUAUGAAAGGAGCAACCCUUAAGUAAGCAAAGAAAGUCACUUUUGGAGAGCUUUUGGUUCUGCUCAAGGGACUCACUUUUGUGUGCUAAAAGUCUGAUAAAAAAGGAAAAAGGCAGUCUUUCAACAGCGGCAGCAGAAGCAUGGGAUAAAAGGAAGUAUUUCAGCUACUCUAGCACAAAAAGUAAGUUACUAAUGUACCCUUAAUACAUGAUUAUUCAUCUACUCUUACCAACCAUGUGAUUCAAACCAAACUAAGAUAGAAAGAACGCAUAACUAAACUCAACGACUAACUAAUACUCAACUAAGAGAAAUUCAUAACCUAGUGACCAAAAUUAUCAAAAUAUGCAUUGAUCAGUGAAGACAUUAAUGAAACUCACGACCUUAAACAAAACAAAAACCAGAAACACAUCACAUAAAAUCGAGACUGAAACGACUAAUGCAAAGCAAAAACAUAUCAACAGUGAGGUAAACUAGAAUAAUCAAUUAAGUUAAAACAAAAAACGAAAAUCAGAAACUAGAUUGAGAGCUAAUCAAAACGAUCGCUAGAACCAUUUACACUACAAAGACAUUACGAUAAAAUGCUAAAGAAAUAUAAAAUUAAAAACAUGGAGGAAGCAUUAUGGUUUGAGUUUUACCGAAUUUGAGUGUUUGAACAAUGGUGGCCUAGCGACGAUUAGGCAGCGAGACAAUAGCGGGAUAGUGGUGCGGCUCGAGCAAGCUUUUAUUGUUGAUUUUCAUCGAAACCAUGACCCCGGAGAAUUGGAGGCUAGUUUCGAUAAAAAGCGACAACAAAACCUCGCUUUAGACCAGUGUGAAUAGAAAAAUUGGAGGUUGCGGAGUGAUAGUGAGGCGACGGGUUGGCGGAGAGGCGGCAGCGGAGGUGGCUUUCAGGAGUGGUGAGGUUUUUUUGGGGUGAGAUUAUAGGGGAAGUGUAGAUCUCUUUGAUAUGUACAAGUUUAUGUAGGUUUUAGGGGGGUAAACCAUUGAAACUUCAACUAAAUUUCAAAGAAAAAGAGGCUAGGGUUUCGGAUUAUAGGGUUUCGGAUUUUAUGAGGAUUUGCUGGGAUUUGGUUCAUGGAUUUGAAAAGAUGGGAGUGAGAGGGAGAUCUAGUGAGAUUUUAGGGUGGAUUGGAGUACGCUCGUCCGGCGGUGACGAUUUUCGAUCAGCGGAGAUGGGUGGUGGCGCAGAGAAACGAGAGGGAGUGAAGAGAGAGGAAAAAGAAAAGAAUAAUGGGAAAAAAU